CAAUAGCGUAUAUUAAAGUUGUUGCAGUUAAAAAGCUCGUAGUUGGAUUUCGGGGCAGCCUGGCUGGUCCGCCGCAAGGCGAGUACUGGUCAGCCGCCCUUCCUCUCGAAAGCCCCGACUGCUCUUCAUUGCAGUGGUCGGGUAGUUCGGGACGUUUACUUUGAAAAAAUUAGAGUGUUCAAGGCAGGCCUACGCCUGAAUACAUUAGCAUGGAAUAAUGGAAGAGGACCUCGGUCCUAUUUUGUUGGUUUCCAGGGCCGAAGUAAUGAUUAAGAGGGACAGUUGGGGGCAUUCGUAUUUAAUUGUCAGAGGUGAAAUUCUCGGAUUUGUGAAAGACGAACAACUGCGAAAGCAUUUGCCAAGGAUGUUUUCAUUAA
rnacentral:rRNA from 1 species